GGCGUGAGCCACCGCGCCCGGUCUGUUGUUUCCAUUUUUAUGUCCCUGAGUACCCAGUGUUUUAUUUGCAUAUAUGACAUGAUUUCGUUCUUUUUUUAUGGCUACAGAUAACUAUGCUUAAACAUUUUCAGGAACUACCAGACUUUUUUCCAGAGCACCUGCAGUAUUUUACAUUCACAUUUGCAGUGUGAUGAGAGGGUUCCGUUUCUCUACAUCCUCACCAACACUUGUUUUUACCUGUCUUUUUGACUGUAGCUAUUCUAGUGGGUGUGAAGUGUUAUUUUCUUGCCGGUUUGGUUUGCAUUUCCCCAACGGCUAAUGCCGUUAUUCAUCUUUGAUAUGCACUUUGGGAAUUUGUGUGUCAUCUUUGGGAAAAUGUUUGUUCAGAUUUGUUACUCAUUUUUAAUCAGAUUAUUUUUAUUGAGCUGUGGAGUUGUUAUUGGUAGAAUUAGAUAAACACCGUGUCAGAUGUAUGAUUAGCAACAUUCUACAUGUUGUCUUUUUUCAGACACAAAAGUUUUUAUUUUUGACAGUACAAAUUUAUUUUUUCUUUUGUUGCUUGUACUUUCGGCGAAAACUUAUGCCUGUAUUUUGUUUUAAAGUUUUACAGUUUUAAGACUUUAUGUAGGUCUGUAAUUCAUUUUGAAUUUAUUUUUGCAUAGGGUGUGAUCGAGCCGUUCAGCUCAGUUUUAUUUUGCAUGUGCCACCUCCCAUUUUUAAACUCGUGUCGCAUAAUGUUUCCAUAAAUGAAGAACUGUGUAUUUGAAGGUGGUCCCAUAAGAUAAGAAUAUAUUUUUACUGUACCUUUUCUAUGUUUAGAUAUGCUUAGAUAUACAAAUACUGACAUGUUGUGUUAUAGUUGCCUGCAAUCUUCAGUACAGUUACAGGCUGUAUAGGUUUGUAGGCUAGACCAGGAGCAUUAGGUUAUACCACAUAGCUGAGGUGUGUAGUAGACUCUACCAUCUAGGUUUUUGUCAGUACACUCUUAUGAUGUUUGCACGACAAAAUAUGCCUGACGACAUAUUUCUCAGAACGUAUCCUUUUUAAGCAACACGUGACUGUAUUGUGUAAAAUCCCCAUAGUAAUAUAUACAUAAUAAUAUAUAGUACCUGCACAUAGAAUGUUACGUGUAAUUUUCACAAACUCAUUGUAGCACUGUGCUAAAAUAUGUAGCCAUACAUAUAUAUUUCAGAUAAGGUAUGACAGUACUAUUUUUUAAAUGAUGAAAUUUGGUGAGUGUCUUCAUUUAUCUCUGCCACUUCAGUGUUUGGACCUAACUAUUAACAAAGGAGUCUACUUAAUGUCAUUUGUUUGUGACAGAUGUCAGGCAGAUGUAUUUUAUAGCUUUAUUGUCAGUGGUGAGAUUUUUCCAAGUAGUGAACAUUUUGAUAAAAGUUCCAAACAGAAUUAAGUUUCGUACAGUACAAUUUGCAUAGCAGCUGUAUUCCUGGAAAAUUCAGCAUGGUGUGCUAAGCAGAUUUUGGUUCUAGACUCAAUUAUAAGAAGCUUGUUUUCAGAUGUUAGUUCUUUGGGAGACAUGCGUAGUACACAGUAGGCAUCCCUGGCCUCCUUUGACUAAAUAUCAGUGCACUUUCAUCUAGAGCAGUGCUGUCCAGUGAGUCAGAUAGGCAGUUUUAAGUUUUUUAGUAGCCAACAGCUGGAAUUUUAAUUAUAUUUAUUAACCAGAUAUAUCUAAAAUACUUAUAUAAUCAAUAUAAAAAUUAAUGUGAUAAUUUGCAUUUGUUUUCCCCUAAGUCUUGGAAUUUAGUGUGUAUUUUACACAUACAGAAAAAUACCAAUUUAUACUAGCCAUGUUUCUAGUAUUCAGUAGCUAUGUGUGGCCAGUGACUGUCAUUGAAGAGCCCAAAUGAGAGGGAUUAACUCUAUAGCCAAGUGUCAGAUUGUUGAUACUUAUUGUGAUACAUUUUUCCCUCCCCCAAGGGACAAAGCCUAGUUAGCUAUAAAUUUUGCUUUUCACCACCAAGUUUCUUGAUACACAGUUGGUAAAUUGCAGAAUGGUGUUAUUAUAAACUGAAGUUGUAUUGGUUCAUGUGUAAAGAAAUUUUUUAGUCAAGGAGAAUCAGAAUAGUAGAAGGUAGGGUUAUUACCUUCAGAUAGAAAGGAAAAAGCCCCCAACCAAGCAAGAAUCCCUAAAGAAAAUUCAAGUCGGCUUUCCUAGCCUUGCAUGGCUCUCUGUGGCAAGUCACACUUUACUGUGUGUCCAUAUUAAUUAUAUCCUCAGUGCUCAGAACUUCGCUUCCAUUUCCAUGUUCUUAGCCCCAAAUAGCUGCAUUUUUAUCCUAAUGUAUUUUGCAUUAUUAUCACUUGGAAGUCAUUUAUAUCCAUGCUGAACUGCUCGCCUGUGCUAUUCAGGUUUUUAUUAGUGCUCUGAUAAUAAAGUUACAUAAUUUUGAGUGGUUUUGUUCCUAUUCUAUUUUUUUCCAUAAGACUUAUUAGUGUGCAGUUUUACAGAAUUCAAGAUUUUUCAAGGAAAACAUACAUCAUGUUAUAGCAGAAAUACCCAUUACAGAUAUGUGGCUUUCUUGGUGAAACCCUUUUUUUUUUUAAGUGCUUGUGGCCGCUGGUUAGGAGCCUUUUGAUGAAAGGUGAAGGACCCUGGAAGGCAGUACAACAUGUAGAAUAACAGGAAGAAGAUCCUUGGGAAGGUACUAGAAAAGACAGGAAGAGACAUGAAGAGUACAGUCAUCUCUGUAAGUGAAGAGGGUAUGAUUACCAGUUUAUUUUAGCAUAUUGCUUAUCUUUUCAAGGGAGAUUUGUUGAGUAUCCUCUACCAUUUGACUUUGUAAACCUAUGUUUCCCAGUGUGUGGCCUAGGUGCUAACUAUACUAGAACUGUCCUGGGAAUGCCCUUUAAAAAUUCAGGUCUUAAGCCAGGCAUGGUGGCUCACGCCUGUAAUCCCAGCACUUCGGGAGACCGAGGCAGGUGGGUCACUUGAGGACAGGAGUUUGUGACCAGCCU